rnacentral:lncRNA from 1 species
CAACAAUUAAGUGACUCAUCAAAAAUAAAUUUCUUCGGAAAAACACCUCCACACCCUAACUCUCUUUAUGUCUUUUGGUCUACACUAACUCACUCUCUCUCUCACGCACACACACACACGCAACAACUCACACACAACUUGGCAUUAGGAUCUCUCACACUCACACACACACACACACACACCCUGGCAUUCGGAUCUCUUCCUAACACAACCCUAGCAUUAUAUCUCGCACACUCACACACACCCUAGCUUAGAAUCUAAUUCAAACACACACCAUGGCAUUACAAUCUCUUUCUCACACAUACCCUGGCAUUAGGAUCGGUCUCUCUCACACACACACCCUGACAUUAGGAUUUCUCUCACACUCACACACAAUAUUAGGAUCUCUCAGUCAUGCUCACACACCCUGGCAUUAGGGUCUCUCUCACACACAACCUGACAGGGUCUCUCUCACACUCACACACCCUGACAUUAGGGUUUCUCACAUACACACACACUCUGGCAUUAGGAUCACUCUGUCACACACACACACACACACACACCCUGGCAUUAGGAUCACUCUGUCACACACACACAUACCCUGGCAUUAGGAUCACCCUGUCACACACACACACACGCACACACACCCUGGCAUUAGGAUCACUCUGUCACACACACACACACGCACCCUGGCAUUAGGAUCACUCUGUCACACAUACACACACCCUGGCAUUAGGAUCACUCUGUCACACACACACACCCUGACAUUAGGGUUUCUCUCACACACACACACCCUGGCAUUAGGAUCACUCUGUCACACACACACAACCUGACAUUAGGGUUUCUCUCACACACACACACCCUGGCAUUAGGAUCACUCUGUCACACACACACACACACACACCCUGGCAUUAGGAUCACUCUGUCACACACACACACCCUGACAUUAGGGUUUCUCUCACACUCACACACCCUGGCAUUAGGAUCACUGUGUCAUACACACCCUGGCAUUAGGG